CCCCACGGAGCUGCUGGAAGUGGGAGGGUGGACGUGACUCAAAAGAAACAAAUAAAACCUGAAGGCCGCUCGACUUGUGAAAGGGACAGGAAGGCCUUUCCCAGGGCGCUGGCCCCGCUCGGCCUCCCCGGCGCCCCACAAGCAUCGCCCCGGCUUCCCGAGAGGAAACCACCGGCGAGUCUGACGGGAAAGACGAGAGGGCCUGGGGGCUGGAUCCCGCUCGCAGUCACCCAAGGCUUGUCUGCGGUGAGGAUGGGGAAGCACAGACAUGCUAGCCCUGCAGCAGGGCUGGAGCUGCCCUCGCGAGGCUGGAAACACCUGCUGGGACCUGCCGUUGGGCUUCUUGGUGCAAUUUAACACAGGACCGCCCGGGCCAUGCGACGGCCCCAGCUGGAUCCCGUGCAAAUACGGCAUGGCUCUGCCCCCACCAGGCUGCCCAGGGACCGAUGUCCAAAGGUGUCCUGCUCAGCCUGAAAGGAAGCGGCAAAACCGUGGGGCUCAGCAUCUCGGAGGCAUUGUGUCCUUCAAAGGCGACGAACAAACAGCCGUGCUCCUUUCCAGCCCCGUCAGGGAUCCUGAGGAAAUGCUGCAGUCAACACAUUUGGGCGCCGCUUCCUCCUCGCACUGAGAGCCUGUUUAAACACUUACUAAUGUAAAGAAGCUUUUUGCUGCCGUAAGGCAAUGUCUGUAUUUCCAGCGGGCAUCCUGGUUAAACACUGUGGACUUCUUAGAGUCACAGCCAGUCUCCGAAUGAAAAGGUACCUUGUUUGAAAAACAGAGGGUCUUUUUCUUCCACGGCCACCUAAAAUAUUGCACGUCACUGUUGAUGUUUUCAUUUUGAGAAUGAUGAGGUAAAAACCACACUCUGCGUGGGCUAGGGGCGUUUUCUUUGGUUGAGAGUUUUAUUUUCUUAAUCGUCUGUCUCCUGCAUGAAGCUCGCAGGUGAAAAUGCUGAGGCUUUUAAAAAGAUGUGCCUCAGACCACGACAAAUAUUUUCCUGGAGAGCCAGCACACACACAAAGUGUUUGUGGAAGAGGAGUGCUGCUUUCCCUCCUGCCCUGGAGACAGCGAGUCCAUCGCAGACCCUUCCUGCCCCAGCUCCCCAUGGCCCCCAGGGCUCAGCCUCCACAAGUUGGCCCUGUGGCCUGAGCUGGAGCGAAGCUCACCCGUCAGCCUCAUCUCCCCAAAGGCAAGACCCGCGCUGGCCGUGGGUUAGCAAUGCCAUUGCAGGGAGCAGGAGGGUGUUGCAGGGCUUGCCUUGAAGCCCUGCUCCCAGAGGAAAGCCUUCAUGCCCUGGAUGGGUCUUCCUCAUCUGGCACUAGUCAGCAGGCAGCAAGGCCAGGCAUAACGCCGUCUCUUCUCUGAAUCGUGCCUUCGCAGGGCUGUGGUCGUCCCUGGUAGUGGUGACUGUGUGAGGAUUUCAUGAGCGAUUCCUUCCAUCAUAGGUGAGAGGCAGAAAAUGUCCUGAAUGCUAUUCAAGGGGAACCAAGAAAAACAUCUCCCAUCUCCUUCCAUAGGCACUGGAUCUGUGCCAGAACACUGGGCAAGCGCUCCUGCCAUGCUGCCUGCUAGCUCCUGCUUUGGCAGGUUUGGCAGGAAAUUCUUGGUUCCCUUGUAAAUCCCGGCUU
rnacentral:lncRNA from 1 species